UCGGUAAUUAUGGGAGCUCUUUCACUGUGCAACGGGAGUCGGGGAACGCUGGUAUAUCAAAUCAUAAGUCACAUUUGAAAUGAAUAGAAAUGCUGUUUGUCUGCUCCUGCCCCGCAUUGUGCUGUCUGGUCUGCUUGCCUUGGCUAUCAAGCACAGUAUAUUCUAUUAUGCGACAGCCAUAUUGUUCAGAAAGAUAUAUGCCCGUGACUGAUGACUGUUCAAGAUAUCUGAUGGUGCCACUCGACAAAUCAAGUGAAGAACCCGUUUGAAAUUGUCUCGCCCGUGGCUGAUAAAUCUCAACAGA